ACAGCGGAAGGGACGUCAAGGGCGGAGCGCGAAUCUCCGGCUGCGGAGAGAGGGGCGUAGCUGCAAGUGAAGGUCCCUCGUUCUCGAUCACCCCGUUGUAGCCCAGCACCUUAAAGGCGAGCUCAUCUCGGAACCCUGAAGUGUUGCCUAUAAUAUACCAACAAGUGCAGUAUGUUCCCGUUUCAGGCCAGAGCCCAAGUCACAGCAUUUCCACUCUUCACAGCGGCUGAGGAUGGCAGAGGUGAGUUCAAACUCACCUUAUUCUACGGCAAGGCAACUAGGCUCAAAGGAAAGCUGAUUGCUAACUGAAAAAUGUUCUACUGCAACGCAACACUUUAAAAUCUACUUCAAUCCAGAGAUUUUUUAUUACACAAUUUGAUUUUUAUAAUCAAUAAAAUAAUAAUAUAGAUGAAGGAACAACAAUUUAAUUUGUAUUGAAAUAAAUAUUAGA